GUUUGGGCCAACUUGUGUUGAAUGUUUGAAAAAGUUGUCUUGAAAGCUGCACUUGUUGAGGAAAGCCAUCUCCACAAUUCUAGAAGAGGCUGAGGACAAGAGUCAUUUCACUAAGAAAGUUGAGCACGAGAGUGGAGUCAGGAACUAAUGAUCCACUUUGGGACGAAAACUAAAAACCUGUAUGCUUUGUGAUGCUCCGCAUGUUGAAAAGGAUGCCCAUUCACUCGGAAGCCAUCUCCAUGAUUACUGCAGUUUCUAAGGGGAAGAAGCUUGAUUUCAGUGAGGCGAUUAAGUUCCUGGUUGGACUAAAAAAUAAUGACCGAGUGAAAGAAAACCGUGUAAGUGGGAUCGGGACGUUGCUAUCCAUUCUGAGUGAAAAAGUGAAAUGAAAAUUUGUCUGCCUGGUUAUACUCAGCGUGGUGAAGAGGCCAACUUUAGUUAAAGGAUUAAGAAGUCUUAGGCGGGCUGGAUGUGUCGAGGGAAGCCAUCUCCAUGAUUGUAGCAGAUGCUAAGGAAAAGAAAUAAUUUCACCGGCAGUUGAGCUCCAGGUUGGACUCAAGAUAUAAUGAUCUGUAGUAGGAAAACCGUAUCAUUGUGUUCGUGAAGUAGCUCCAUGUUAAACAAAAUAUCAAAAUCUAUACGCCUGGAGAUGCUAGCUGAAGAGUUAUUCCAAAAAUCCCUAUUAGUCGGGCGCUACUGUCAAAGAAAUUCACAUAGAUGGCCAAAAUGCAUGAUUUCAGAAUGUGAAAUAAAA